rnacentral:rRNA from 1 species
UACGGAGGGUGCAAGCGUUUAAUCGGAAUUACUGGGCGUAAAGCGUGCGCAGGCGGUGAUGUAAGACAGGUGUGAAAUCCCCGGGCUUAACCUGGGAAUGGCAUUGGUGACUGCACGGCUAGAGUGUGUCAGAGGGGGGUAGAAUUCCACGUGUAGCAGUGAAAUGCGUAGAGAUGUGGAGGAAUACCGAUGGCGAAGGCAGCCCCCUGGGAUAACACUGACGCUCCAUGCA